UACGAGGGGGGCGAGCGUUGUUCGGAAUUAUUGGGCGUAAAGGGUGCGUAGGCGGUUUGGUAAGUCUGAUGUGAAAUCUAUGGGCUCAACUCAUAGUCUGCAUCGGAAACUGCCGGGCUUGAGUGUGGGAGAGGUGAGUGGAAUUCCCGGUGUAGAGGUGAAAUUCGUAGAUAUCGGGAGGAACACCUGUGGCGAAGGCGGCCACCUGGACAACAACUGGACGCUGAGA
rnacentral:rRNA from 1 species